rnacentral:rRNA from 1 species
AGUACGGGAAACUGCUUAGAGGUUAAGCCCGAUGAACCUGAAUAUCCGUUAUGGAAAAUUCAUCACUAAUACUAUGGUAUAUAUCAUAUUAUAGAAAUAGUGUGCAAUUUUUCCAUAUAAGGACAUUGUAAUCUGUUAAUGUAAUAAAUAUUUAUCAUAAGAUCUUUUAUUUAAGUUUAUUCAAAUUAGUUAUUUUCGAAUUUCUAACAUAGAAUAAAUGUAUUAGAUUUGAUAAAUCAUUGACAGAUUUAAUUAUAUAUAGUGCUUAAAUUUUUCGGAAUUUUACAAUGGUGAGUAAAUCUAUUGAUUUAUUUAUAUUGUAUGCACUUAUAUGAUUAACAAUGCGAUAGAUUCAGGAUACCUUCGGGACCCGUCUUGAAACACGGACCAAGGAGUCUAACAUAUGUGCAAGUCAUUGGGUAUUUUUAAUAAAACCCAAUGGCAUAAUUAACUUAACUGUUUUAAAUGGGAUUAGUUUAUAUUUUAUUAUGAAAUAUGAAUUCAAUCCCGGGGCGUUCUAUACAGUUAUGCAUAAUGAUAUUUAUAUUAUUUAUGCCUCUAACUAGAGC